UUGCCUGCAUGUCUAAGUAUAAAUGUUAUACAGYGAAACUGCGAAUGGCUCAUUAAAACAGUUAUAGUUUAUUUGAUAAUCGAAUUUACAUGGAUAACCGUGGUAAUUCUAGAGCUAAUACAUGCUGGUUAGCCUGACUUUUGAGGAAGGGCUGUAUUUAUUAGAUAACAAACCAAUAUUCCUUGUGUCUAUUGUGAUGACUCAUAAUAACUGAUCGAAUCGCAUGGACUUUGUCCGCGAUAAAUCAUUCAAGUUUCUGCCCCAUCAGCUUUCGAUGGUAGUGUAUUGGACUACCAUGGCUUUAACGGGUAACGGAGGAUUAGGGUUCGAUUCCGGAGAGGGAGCCUGAGAAACGGYUACCACAUCUAAGGAAGGCAGCAGGCGCGUAAAUUACCCAAUCCUGACUCAGGGAGGUAGUGACAAGAAAUAACGGACCGAAGCCUAUGGUUUCGGGAUUGCAAUGAGUAGAAUUUAAACCCCUUUACGAGGAUCAAUUGGAGGGCAAGUCUGGUCCCCCCGU
rnacentral:rRNA from 1 species